UACGCAGAACGUAUCUUCCUAUUUCACAAAUUAGUAAUAAUAUCAGUUUUCUGUCUGGUGUUCUAGCUGAGGAAAAUACAAAAAGGUUUCUGAUUAAUUUGCUGUGAAAUAUAUAAUUUCAUGCUAUUUAUUAAGUUUAAAUCGAACCUGCUGAAUAUAAUGUUUAUCUGAUUUACCAUUUGAGGAAGUUCGUGAUCCGUUAGAAAGGGUACCGUUAAGUGUUAUUUAUGAAUGUGAGCAUCUUCAAUAGAGUUAACAACCAGAGCAAAGACAGUGGCGGCAUGUAUUCCGAGUGGAGUUCAUUGCCCCUGGAGGGGGGAGGCAGGGGCGUGCUGGGCGCUGUGGGUGGGAGAGACGUGGUGCUGGCGGUCGUCAAACAGCUAGCCUCGCAUGAGCCCAGCCCUCUUACUACUGAUGCUGAGGUGGAAUGGGUACUAGAAGUAAUCCGCUUUGGUCUCUCCCUCCCUCUACAAGAGCACGGCGCUCUCCGUGACUGUGUCCGCGUGUGCUGCGCGUGGCUGGCACCCCUCCUCCCCCCGGCGCCUCCUGCCAUGCCGCCGCCCCCCGCGAUACCACCGCCCGUGGCUAAGGCGCCUCACAAGUACGCCAGGAAGAUAUUGAGGCAUCUGCAUAAUUUGUUCGUGCCGAGGCCUAAUGAGAGUGGUGAUCUAAUCAGCAAGCAAGCAGUCCUAUGUCACCGGGUACUUCGCCUAGCCCGAGCGUUAGCCGACGGUGGCGCUCUAGGAGCCAAAGAGUGGCGCUCGCUACUCCUCCUACUGUUGGCUGCAGCAUCAGCCUUGCUGUCUCCACCGGCGCCACACCACUCGGCUGCAGAACAGCUGUGUGAGAGAGUGCUUUGUGUACUGUUUGAAGUCUGGAUACUGGCUUGUCACAGAUGUUUCCCCGUCCCGCCGCUGUGGCGCACGCUGCGCGAGCAGUGCGUGCGCUGGCGGCACCGCGCGCCGCUCGCGGAGCAGUGGACGCGCGCCUCGCUCGCUCUCACCGCGAGGCUGCUCAAGCACAUGUACGGACCGCUGUUCCCCGUCAUGCCUAUCAGCGAGGAAGACGCAAACUUGAUCCCAGCUGAUAUGAGCGCAGAGGCGGUGAUGCAGAGCUGGUACCGCAUCCUGCACACUAUUGGAAACCCUGUCGACCUGUGCAGACCUCACAUCAUCAGUCAGACCCCUGACUUCUUACAGUAUUCAAUAACUCAAGACGAGGGCAGUCGGGAUCCCAGCCAGCACCCGUGCCUUCAGGCUCUACCGUCCAUCUUCCACAAGGCUAUGAAAGGCAUCGCAGCACACGUCGACGCAUUCCUCGGACGCGGGUCGGAGCGCUGGUGGGGCGCGGCAGUCGAGCCGGCCGAUGACGGCGACCUCACGCCGCCCGCGCACAGACGCCUCGCCAAGUCCUUCAGCGUGUCCGCUGCGAGGCCACGGGAUAAGCUGCCUGAGAGAAGCACUCCGCGCACGUCGCUGAUUGGGCUGACGAGCAGCCGCCCGCCCAGCGUCGCGCCCACCACGCCGCCCAACUCCAUCUCCUCGCAAGUGGGUGAAUCUGAGAAGCCGCCACUUACGCCGCUGCGUCCGAAGGUGAACUCAAUCUUCCAUCUGUUCGGAGAGUGGCUGUUUGAAGCUGCACUCAUUGGUACCACGCCGGCUUAUAAUAACCAACAGCGCACGGAAGGCACCCCGCCACCUCCGUCGUUGUCAGAUGCUACAUAUAAACUGAAUAUGCUUGCCUACCAGCCAGGUCGUGCCGAAGCCCUAGGCACAGUAUGCCGGGUGCUCUGCGCCCGCCAGUGCCGCGAGGAGGUGCUGGCGCCGUACCUGGCGCGGUGCUACGCCGCCAUACACCGCGGCCUGCGGGACCCCGCCACCGCCGCCGCUGUCGUGCUUAACGCGCCUGAUCUGUUCCGCCUCGACCUAGACGGCGUUCUAGUCUUAGUUCCGGACUUCAUCAACGCGUUAGACCAGAUAUUAUCAGAGAGAGAACCUAAGCUAGAAUGCGGGAGCAUAGACAAAAGAGAGCUGCGUAAAGCCGCUAUUAGUGCUCUCCUGUCACUGGUAGCCUUCCCCUACCAUUAUAAGGGAUUGCCGGUACCUGAGUUCCCGGGAUGUAAUGAAUACGCUGGCAUGACACUAGGCGACUUCACUCGAGGUCGUAUCUCCCUCAUCUGCGUCUCAGCAGUGCAAGUGGAGACUUCAGACGCGUUGGCCGUGCCGCUUCUAAACGCGUUAUAUCUCUGUGUACGACAUAACGCACAUCACGCGCCUUCACAUGCCCCGGGGUCAACGCUCUCACAUAACACGGAGUAUAAAGCGCGGUCGGACAGCGGCAGCGCGACCGGCAGCGGCGAGGGACAUUCGCUCGACGACUUCGCCGCAGACGUUAGAGAGCUAGACCCAUCCUCGCCUGUUUUCGGUGCAGCGCUGGUGGUCCGAGCUACUUACCUGGUCUGUCACCGCCUCAUAUCCUCGUGGAAGGGAGACCUGCAAGUAUCGCUGGCAGCUUUGGAACUGCUCUCUGGUUUAGCCAAGCUGCACUCUUCUAAACCAGAGGCAAUAGAACGCAAGCGCGCAGUGCGUUGGAUCUGCGACUACAUCACAGUGCAGUGCAGCCGCCCGCCCCAAGCACACUCGCGCGACCUGCACUCGUGUGUAGUAGCCGCCUACUCCUGCCUCGCCGCCUGGCUGUGUCCGGCGCUGUUAGCCGACCAGGAGUGCAUCGCCACGCUGCUAGAGGUCGUGGAGCUCGGGAUAUCGGGCAGCAAGAGUCAAGGGAAACCUGGUGAGCCUCCAAAAAUGAAGGAUGAGAAAGAAUUAAAACCAGUUUCGAUGAGAGUGCGAGAUGCGGCUGAAUCGCUACUCAUGCUCAUUUUGGAACAGCAAAUCGGUAACGGCGGUAACGGUUCCUCCUGGUGCCGGCUGGACGAGCGCUGGCUGGCAGCGCUGGGGCACGGCAAGCUGCGCCACUUCGUAGCAGACGGGAAUAUACUGCUGUCGCUGCUGGAGGAGCCGCUCAGCAACAGCCAGGAGCCGCAGCCUACGCUUAUUGUGAUUAUCCGCUGCGGCUGGGGCCGCUACGCGUGGUCGCUGGGCGCGCGCGGCGCGGCGCGGAGCGCGCGGCGCGGCUGCGGCGGCGCCUGCGCGCGCCCCGUGGACAUGCGCGACGCGCGCCCCGCCGCGCCGCCCGCCUGCCGCGCGCUGCCGCACGCGCCGCCUUGUGCACUUGACUCAGCGUUCCCGAGUCUAGACGCGGUGCUACGUCAACUGAACGACCCCGACGCUCCAACAUUGUUCAAACUGUUGGAACAGCAAGCUGCUAUCGAGAAACGAGUUAAAGAGAACGAAGAUAAUGUUGUUCCUGAAGAAUAUAUUCCACCCGAACCUGUAACGGAGUUUCAAACGGCGAGAUUAUUUUUGCAACACUUCGGGUAUCUUAACAUUGGUGGUGAUAAAAAGGGUUCCCCCCCACGUCUAGUAGCACUAGACUCCUCAGCCCCGGGCUUCGCAGCAGCCCUGCGGCGCGUGGACGCGUGCGGGGCACGUGCACGCGUCACCGUGCACGUGUUCUGUGCACGUGCGGGACAACUGCACGCUAAGGAUAUUGUCAAUAACGCUAGGAGUUUGAGCACCGUGCCGCCGGCUUUUGUGAGGAUGCUUAGAGGGUUAGGUACCCCAGUUCUGGUUCGUGGUCACCCAGGCUGGGCAGGACACGUGGAUACUAGCUAUGACGCGCGGCCUCACGCGCCGCCCACCAACAGGGAACCAGCGCCUGCCAUAUACGACGCUAGGGAACAGGUCCUAUACUGGUCGGACUCGACGAAUGAGAUAGCGUUCGUAGUGCCGUCCGGCCGCGACACUACUGACACAGAGGAUCGAAACGACAGCAUCAAGUCGGAUGUGGACGGCUCUUGUUUGUCUAAUAGAAGCUCGGACAAGGGCGCGGGCUCGUGCUGGGACGUGUCGGGCGGCUCGACCGCCACCGGCACAUACGAGCGCAGCGUCAGCGAGUCGGAGCGUACGGCGGACCGCGGCGGCAAGCUGGCCGACAAGCUGCGGGCGUUGUCGCUCGAUCUCGACAAGCAGCCGCAGGCACAGCUCACUGGCAGCGGCAGGCGUAAUAGAGAUUACACUACGAAAAUCCUCAUCAUAUGGCUGGAAGACUUUGAAGAUCACUUGAAUUUGCCAAUUGACGACCUGCUAACAUACUGCGAGACCGGUCUCCCGUGGCGUCGCCACGAGGUUGUGACUCUCUGCGUAUCAGCGCGUCGCUGCGGGCUGGUGCGGCUGCAGUGCGCGGCGGCGGGGCUGCUGCCCGACGCCGCGCUGGUGGCGCCCGCGCUGCUCUCCGACUGUCUGCGCAGGGCCGCACUCGACGCUGCUAGGCGGACCCGGCUCAAUACUGACCUGUGAGUACACAAGUAGUUGGUGACGCUGCGGGCUGCUGCCCGACGCCGCGCUGGUGGCGCCCGCGCUGCUCUCCGACUGUCUGCGCAGGGCCGCACUCGACGCUGCUAGGCGGACCCGGCUCAAUACUGACCUGUGAGUACACAAGUAGUUGGUGACGCUGCGGGCUGCUGCCCGACGCCGCGCUGGUGGCGCCCGCGCUGCUCUCCGACUGUCUGCGCAGGGCCGCACUCGACGCUGCUAGGCGGACCCGGCUCAAUACUGACCUGUGAGUACACAAGUAGUUGGUGACGCUGCGGGCUGCUGCCCGACGCCGCGCUGGUGGCGCCCGCGCUGCUCUCCGACUGUCUGCGCAGGGCCGCACUCGACGCUGCUAGGCGGACCCGGCUCAAUACUGACCUGUGAGUACACAAGUAGUUGGUGACGCUGCGGGCUGCUGCCCGACGCCGCGCUGGUGGCGCCCGCGCUGCUCUCCGACUGUCUGCGCAGGGCCGCACUCGACGCUGCUAGGCGGACCCGGCUCAAUACUGACCUGUGAGUACACAAGUAGUUGGUGACGCUGCGGGCUGCUGCCCGACGCCGCGCUGGUGGCGCCCGCGCUGCUCUCCGACUGUCUGCGCAGGGCCGCACUCGACGCUGCUAGGCGGACCCGGCUCAAUACUGACCUGUACCAACCGCCCCACGUGCGCCGUCGCCACCUCAUACAGGAGUUAGCUCAACAAUACAAGAAGGACUUGACCGAACCUGAACUCUUGGAGUCAUUAUUUAGACCUCCUGAAUAAAUAGAUAUUUUAUAACCUAAAGCUCCAUGGUAAACUUUUCUUUAGAAAUAUUAUUGUUGAUCAACAAAAAUGUUGCUAGAAACAUAUCAAUUCUGUUACAGCAGUGUUGCCAGUAACUAAAAUACAUUUUGAUGUAACUUUGUUUAUAAACAAAAGAUGACUUAAGUUUGAUCACUAUUAUUGGCCUUACAGCAUCUCUUAUAGAUAUUUGGCAGUACUUAUAUGCAUGUCUUAUUGCCACAUGCAUUUAUUUGUGCGCCUGAAUCUGUCGCAUGUGAAUGAAACAUCAAUUUAAUAUUUUUUUAUUACUAUGAACUGGCUAUGAAUUUUUCAUAUACUCUGUGAUUGACUGAGACAAGUCAAAUUUUAGUACCAGAAGUAAAAAAAUAAUUUAGUGUAAGUAAAUUAAUUGAUUCAGAAUAUGAUUAUAUGCAUGGUUGCAUGUUUUUUGUUUGGCAUAACAAACUUUGUAUAAGCUCAAGCAAAAAUACUUUCCCAAAGCUUCACUAUUAUCGGAAUAGUGUUUAUCUAUUAAUAGGCACACAAUUUUUAAAAAUAAAUUGCAGUGUAAUGAAAUAUUAGUAGUUGAUCAGCAAAUUUUCAGAUAAUUUGAAAGGAUUAUUGAAGAUGAAGUGAGUAUUUCGGUUGAUCAGUUUUAUAAAGAUUGCUCUUUUUACUAUUACUAAACGUAGUAAUAAAGCACACCAGACGUUUUUGUCAAAUAAAAACAUUGAACUCUGAACUAUUUCAUAAUUUUAUUGAGUUUGCGCUGAGGGUUCGUUAUUGAUCAUCAAUUGUAUAAAACUUCCGCAUUACUACAUGACUUACAAACAAUUAGGCCUUUUCUGGGUAUAUUUCAAUAUUGAAAUUCAGUGGUAGACUUACUGUUUUUUUUUUAACAUGCUGUUGCAAAUUAUGCAACGCGUUUUUUAUUACUUUUGUGGCUCGAAAAUCUGGAUAAAUAUAUGAAGUAUUUUAGUGUUAUUUAUUAAUUAAGACUGAUGUAUGCAUAGACCAAUGAAAUGUAAUCAUUAAUCAUGUUAACAUUCCGAUUUCUAUAACAGUAUUUUAUUUUGCAUAAUGUACUUAAUUUUAUUGUUAUAUUUUAAUAAAUGUUAUUAAUGUAUAAUCUA